rnacentral:rRNA from 1 species
ACGUAGGGGGCAAGCGUUGUCCGGAAUGAUUGGGCGUAAAGGGCGCGUAGGCGGCCUUGUAAGUCCGAUGUGAAAUUCCUGCUUUUAAGGUAGGAAUUGCAUUGGAAACUGUAGGGCUUGAGUGCAGGAGAGGUAAGCGGAAUUCCCGGUGUAGUGGUGAAGUGCAUAGAGCUCAGGAUGAACACCAGUGGGGAUGGCGGCUUACUGGACAAUAACUGACGCUGAUGCGCGAAAGUUUGGUUAGCAAACAG